UGUGAGUGAUGAUUCUUCUUUCCUGACUCCUACAUGGAGGCUUUACUGAUUUAAUGAGCCUGACAC